rnacentral:lncRNA from 1 species
GUGCUGAUAUAAGUUUGUCCUGAUAUAAGAUUUAUCUCCUAUAUUGUAAAGAUUGUCCUAGUACAAGAUUGAUCGAUUUUAAAAUUUAUUUUUGAAAUAUUUACAUCAAUCUUUUAGAUCUAAAAAUAGAUGUAUGUGAUAUAUCUUUAUUUAUAUUUAUAUCUAAAAUUGGAAUGAUUAAAGAUCACAUCAAAUUGAUAUAAGGUUGUCCUGAUAUAGGGUUUAUCCCCUA